UCAGGCCUAACACAUGCAAGUCGAACGGCAGCACGGGUGCUUGCACCUGGUGGCGAGUGGCGAACGGGUGAGUAAUACAUCGGAACGUACCUUAUCGUGGGGGAUAACGCAGCGAAAGCUGUGCUAAUACCGCAUACGCCCUGAGGGGGAAAGCGGGGGAUCGCAAGACCUCGCGCGAUUAGAGCGGCCGAUGCCUGAUUAGCUAGUUGGUGGGGUAAAAGCCCACCAAGGCGACGAUCAGUAGCUGGUCUGAGAGGACGAUCAGCCACACUGGGACUGAGACACGGCCCAGACUCCUACGGGAGGCAGCAGUGGGGAAUUUUGGACAAUGGGGGCAACCCUGAUCCAGCAAUGCCGCGUGAGUGAAGAAGGCCUUCGGGUUGUAAAGCUCGUUGUCAGGGAAGAAACACCGGCUCUAACACAGUCCGGGA
rnacentral:rRNA from 1 species